rnacentral:miRNA from 1 species
UUGGACUGGCAUGCGUUUAUGG